ACCUUAUUAGUAUAAUUUAGUACAUUUAAUUUCCAAUUAAAAAGUUCAAAUAUGAAUAAGGUA
rnacentral:tRNA from 1 species